UGUGUGUGUAUGUGUGUGUGUGUGUGUGUGUAUAUAUAUAUAUACACACACACACACACACACAUAUAUACACACACAUAUA
rnacentral:miRNA from 11 species